GAUGAACGCUGGCGGCGUGCCUAAUACAUGCCAGUCGAGCGAACAGAUGAGGAGCUUGCUCCUCUGACGUUAGCGGCGGACGGGUGAGUAACACGUGGAUAACCUACCUAUAAGACUGGGAUAACUUCGGGAAACCGGAGCUAAUACCGGAUAAUAUAUUGAACCGCAUGGUUCAAUAGUGAAAGACGGUUUUGCUGUCACUUAUAGAUGGAUCCGCGCCGCAUUAGCUAGUUGGUAAGGUAACGGCUUACCAAGGCAACGAUGCGUAGCCGACCUGAGAGGGUGAUCGGCCACACUGGAACUGAGACACGGUCCAGACCCCUACGGGAGGCAGCAGUAGGGAAUCUUCCGCAAUGGGCGAAAGCCUGACGGAGCAACGCCGCGUGAGUGAUGAAGGUCUUCGGAUCGUAAAACUCUGUUAUUAGGGAAGAACAAAUGUGUAAGUAACUAUGCACGUCUUGACGGUACCUAAUCAGAAAGCCACGGCUAACUACGUG
rnacentral:rRNA from 1 species